rnacentral:rRNA from 1 species
AGCAGCCGCGGUAAUUCCAGCUCCAACAGCGUAUAUUAAAGUUGUUGCAGUUAAAAAGCUCGUAGUUGAAUUUCGGGGUUAGUAGGUUGGUCGUACCACUGGUAUGUACUGGCUCUACUGAUCCCUCCUUCUUGUAGAACCGUAAUGCCAUUAACUUGGUGUUGCGGGGAAACAGGACUGUUACUUUGAAAAAAUUAGAGUGUUUAAAGCAGGCUAACGCUUGAAUACAUUAGCAUGGAAUAAUGAAAUAGGACGCUCGAUCCUAUUUUGUUGGUUUCUAGGAUUGACGUAAUGAUUAAUAGGGAUAGUUGGGGGCAUUAGUAUUCAAUUGUCAGAGGUGAAAUUCUUGGAUUUAUUGAAGACUAACUACUGCGAAAGCAUUUGCCAAGGAUGUUUUCAUUAAUCAAGAACGAAAGUUAGGGGAUCGAAGACGAUCAGAUACCGUCGUAGUCUUAACCAUAAACUAUGCCGACUAGGGAUCGGAUGAUGUUAAUUUUUUAAUGACUCAUUCGGCGCCUUACG